rnacentral:tRNA from 1 species
GGGGCGUGGCUCAGCGGCUAGAGCACUCGCUUUGGGAGCGAGGGGUCGCAGGUUCAAAUC